rnacentral:lncRNA from 1 species
CACAGCACUGUUUAAAUAGCCACUUACAGACAUUAAGUACAGGCUUUAAGAAAUUAUUUUUUGUUAAAACCAAUAGCACUGUGUAGAAAUUGUAGUCACUGCCAGUUCCACCACAGUGUGCUAUUUUGAAGGUCUCAGUGUCCUUCACUGGACUGUUUAUUACUAAACCUAGCAAUCACUGCCUGAAAUUUUCUUUUACCUUCAGUGACUUCCACCUUGUGGGUCUGGCAGCACUCUGGCCUGUGAAGCUGAACUUUUCCAGGCUCAUCGAAUUUCUUGUGUGGAGAAGGUGAGAAAACAGAAGCUCUGAAGUUAAUCCGUCCCCCAAGACUAAUGCUGGAGAAGAGCAAGUGAAACAAGUGUCCUGAUGUCCAGAGGAUAAAUGGUAUCCAGAGACAAUGCACUCUGUUCCAGUCCCCUCCCCCUAUCUGGGCUUGAUAAUUGCUGAGAAAUGAUAAAUACAUAAUUGGAACACUCUUACAUACUCCAUGCACAACAGAUAAAGUUAGUUACUAACAGUAAAGUUAGUAACUUAGGACAAAAUUGGAAUAGAAACAUUCUCUGGCAACUGUUACCCCUUCUCAUUAGUUGGUGCCUAGAGGAUAUGUAUACUUCUUAAUUCCAGCUUUGCCUUACCUCUGAGCAGACAGGAAUGACCAAGAGGUAAU